rnacentral:lncRNA from 1 species
UUCUGAGUUUUUCUCUCUAUGCCUGAACUCAUCCCUACGCCAACAUUAAAAAAAAAUCACCACCUCUCCACAUACCAUCCACUAUCUGAGAUGCCGAUCUGGAGUAACAUCUAAAGGUGUCUUAAUUCUGAAUUUGUGAAGUUCCAUUAUAGAUUGGGAUUGCAACCGCCUGCAGCAACCUAACUUCUCUAAGGUUGAAUUGAGUGAUCAUCUGAGUUGAAUCUUCAUAGAUCUAUUAAGGAGAUCUUUAUUAUUGGUAAGUAAAAUUUAUCUUUUUGAAUUUUUUUAAAUCUAAAUCUGAAUAGUGAAGUCUAAUCAAAAAAAAAAUUCUUAAUUACCUUCGAUCCUAGAUUCUUAAAAUUAAAGGGAC